GAUGAACGCUGGCGGCGUGCCUAAUACAUGCAAGUCGAGCGAACAGACGAGGAGCUUGCUCCUCUGACGUUAGCGGCGGACGGGUGAUUAACACGUGGAUAACCUACCUAUAAGACUGGGAUAACUUCGGGAAACCGGAUCUAAUACCGGAUAAUAUAUUGAACCGCAUGGUUCAAUAGUGAAAGACGGUUUUGCUGUCACUUAUAGAUGGAUCCGCGCCGCAUUAGCUAGUUGGUAAGGUAACGGCUUACCAAGGCAACGAUGCGUAGCCGACCUGAGAGGGUGAUCGGCCACACUGGAACUGAGACACGGUCCAGACUCCUACGGGAGGCAGCAGUAGGGAAUCUUCCGCAAUGGGCGAAAGCUUGACGGAGCAACGCCGCGUGAGUGAUGAAGGUCUUCGGAUCGUAAAACUCUGUUAUUAGGGAAGAACAAAUGUGUAAGUAACUAUGGACGGCAUGACGGUACCGAAUGAGAAAGCAACGGCUAACUACGUG
rnacentral:rRNA from 1 species